rnacentral:lncRNA from 1 species
GGCUCCGUCCCGAGCCCAGGGAUCGGGCACUAGCCAAUUUAGCUCUAAUCCAUUAGAGUUCGUUUCGUGUUGCUGCUGUUGAAUUUUUUUUCAUUUUCGUUUUCGUUUUCGUUUUCGAUCUCGAUCGAGUGAGUGAUUGGAGGUUGAGUACGGUAGGAAGGCAAGUUUGCUUUUUUUUUUUUCUUAGACGUGCGUUUGACGUGCGAGCGAGCUGCAGCUUUGCGUGUGGUACGUGUGGCCGCGGUGUGCAUUGUUGGCUCUGCUUUGUUAUGUUGUUAUAACUUUGUAGCUUGUACAUAGCAAGUAUUAAUUCCAUUCAUUUAUUCCAUGUUGUUUUCAUUUCUCCAUCUGUACAUGACUGACAUGUCGGAUUGUAUUAUGUUCUUGGAUGGAUGUGAGAAUUCGACAAGUAGAGGGCCAUUUUUGGGGGUUUUUUUAAAAGAAAG